UUAAGCGACUAAGCGUACACGGUGGAUGCCCUGGCAGUCAGAGGCGAUGAAGGACGUGCUAAUCUGCGAAAAGCGUCGGUAAGGUGAUAUGAACCGUUACAGCCGGCGAUGUCCGAAUGGGGAAACCCAGUGCAAUUCGUUGCACUAUCGUUAACUGAAUACAUAGGUUAACGAGGCGAACCGGGGGAACUGAAACAUCUAAGUACCCCGAGGAAAAAAAAUCAACCGAGAUUCCCCCAGUAGCGGCGAGCGAACGGGGAGCAGCCCAGAGUCUGAAUCAGCUUGUGUGUUAGUGGAACGGUCUGGAAAGUCCGACGGUACAGGGUGAUAGUCCCGUACACCAAAAUGCACAGGCUGUGAACUCGAAGAGUAGGGCGGGACACGUGGUAUCCUGUCUGAAUAUGGGGGGACCAUCCUCCAAGGCUAAAUACUCCUGACUGACCGAUAGUGAACCAGUACCGUGAGGGAAAGGCGAAAAGAACCCCGGCGAGGGGAGUGAAAAAGAACCUGAAACCGUGUACGUACAAGCAGUGGGAGCACCUUCGGGUGUGACUGCGUACCUUUUGUAUAAUGGGUCAGCGACUUAUAUUCUGUAGCAAGGUUAACCGUAUAGGGGAGCCGCAGGGAAACCGAGUCUUAACUGGGCGUUAAGUUGCAGGGUAUAGACCCGAAACCCGGUGAUCUAGCCAUGGGCAGGUUGAAGGUUGGGUAACACUAACUGGAGGACCGAACCGACUAAUGUUGAAAAAUUAGCGGAUGACUUGUGGCUGGGGGUGAAAGGCCAAUCAAACCGGGAGAUAGCUGGUUCUCCCCGAAAGCUAUUUAGGUAGCGCCUCGUGAAUUCAUCUUCGGGGGUAGAGCACUGUUUCGGCUAGGGGGUCAUCCCGACUUACCAACCCGAUGCAAACUACGAAUACCGAAGAAUGUUAUCACGGGAGACACACGGCGGGUGCUAACGUCCGUCGUGAAGAGGGAAACAACCCAGACCGCCAGCUAAGGUCCCAAAGUCAUGGUUAAGUGGGAAACGAUGUGGGAAGGCACAGACAGCCAGGAUGUUGGCUUAGAAGCAGCCAUCAUUUAAAGAAAGCGUAAUAGCUCACUGGUCGAGUCGGCCUGCGCGGAAGAUGUAACGGGGCUAAACCAUGCACCGAAGCUGCGGCAGCGACACUAUGUGUUGUUGGGUAGGGGAGCGUUCUGUAAGCCUGCGAAGGUGACCUGUGAGGGUUGCUGGAGGUAUCAGAAGUGCGAAUGCUGACAUAAGUAACGAUAAAGCGGGUGAAAAGCCCGCUCGCCGGAAGACCAAGGGUUCCUGUCCAACGUUAAUCGGGGCAGGGUGAGUCGACCCCUAAGGCGAGGCCGAAAGGCGUAGUCGAUGGGAAACAGGUUAAUAUUCCUGUACUUGGUGUUACUGCGAAGGGGGGACGGAGAAGGCUAUGUUAGCCGGGCGACGGUUGUCCCGGUUUAAGCAUGUAGGCUGGUUAUCCAGGCAAAUCCGGAUAAUCAAGGCUGAGGUGUGAUGACGAGGCACUACGGUGCUGAAGUAACAAAUGCCCUGCUUCCAGGAAAAGCCUCUAAGCAUCAGGUAACAUCAAAUCGUACCCCAAACCGACACAGGUGGUCAGGUAGAGAAUACCAAGGCGCUUGAGAGAACUCGGGUGAAGGAACUAGGCAAAAUGGUGCCGUAACUUCGGGAGAAGGCACGCUGGUGUGUAGGUGAAGUCCCUGCGGAUGGAGCUGAGACCAGUCGAAGAUACCAGCUGGCUGCAACUGUUUAUUAAAAACACAGCACUGUGCAAACACGAAAGUGGACGUAUACGGUGUGACGCCUGCCCGGUGCCGGAAGGUUAAUUGAUGGGGUUAUCCGUAAGGAGAAGCUCUUGAUCGAAGCCCCGGUAAACGGCGGCCGUAACUAUAACGGUCCUAAGGUAGCGAAAUUCCUUGUCGGGUAAGUUCCGACCUGCACGAAUGGCGUAAUGAUGGCCAGGCUGUCUCCACCCGAGACUCAGUGAAAUUGAACUCGCUGUGAAGAUGCAGUGUACCCGCGGCAAGACGGAAAGACCCCGUGAACCUUUACUAUAGCUUGACACUGAACAUUGAGCCUUGAUGUGUAGGAUAGGUGGGAGGCUUUGAAGCGUGGACGCCAGUCUGCGUGGAGCCAACCUUGAAAUACCACCCUUUAAUGUUUGAUGUUCUAACGUUGGCCCCUGACCGGGGUUGCGGACAGUGUCUGGUGGGUAGUUUGACUGGGGCGGUCUCCUCCCAAAGCGUAACGGAGGAGCACGAAGGUUAGCUAAUCCUGGUCGGACAUCAGGAGGUUAGUGCAAUGGCAUAAGCUAGCUUGACUGCGAGCGUGACGGCGCGAGCAGGUGCGAAAGCAGGUCAUAGUGAUCCGGUGGUUCUGAAUGGAAGGGCCAUCGCUCAACGGAUAAAAGGUACUCCGGGGAUAACAGGCUGAUACCGCCCAAGAGUUCAUAUCGACGGCGGUGUUUGGCACCUCGAUGUCGGCUCAUCACAUCCUGGGGCUGAAGUAGGUCCCAAGGGUAUGGCUGUUCGCCAUUUAAAGUGGUACGCGAGCUGGGUUUAGAACGUCGUGAGACAGUUCGGUCCCUAUCUGCCGUGGGCGCUGGAGAAUUGAGGGGGGCUGCUCCUAGUACGAGAGGACCGGAGUGGACGCAUCACUGGUGUUCGGGUUGUCAUGCCAAUGGCACUGCCCGGUAGCUAAAUGCGGAAGAGAUAAGUGCUGAAAGCAUCUAAGCACGAAACUUGCCCCGAGAUGAGUUCUCCCUGAGACUUUAAGUCUCCUGAAGGAACGUUAAAGACGAUGACGUUGAUAGGCCGGGUGUGUAAGCGCAGCGAUGCGUUGAGCUAACCGGUACUAAUGAACCGUGAGGCUUAACCUU
rnacentral:rRNA from 1 species